AGGCAUUCUGAAGAACCAUGCUGAAGACCUCUUACAGCCAGCAGAGCCAAGAAAGUCACCCUAAGUGGUUUGGCCCUGCUCCCUGGUCAGGGGCUGCCUAACACUGGUCACUCUUGGGUUCUCCGACAUCAGGAGAACUAGGUCCAUGUCAAAGGGCUCACCGUGAGAGCCCUGCUACCUCUCACACCUCCCACUUGAGAGCAACAUUCCUCCAUCCCAUGCCUUUGCCCUGAGAGUGGCCAUCUGGCCAGAGUCAGCAGCACUAUCAAGAAGCUUCCCUCUAAACAAAGGCAACUUGCCCAUGAGAAGAAAAAACAAACGCCACUAUGACAGCCUCCAUUAAUAGACAUCAAAACUAGCCCCCAAGUGUGAAAAUCCAAAUCAAUUUGAUUUAUGAAAACUAAGCAAACUUUCCAGUAGGUUUGGCACAUCCACAGCACUGGAGAAAGGCCUUAAUUAUACUGCCUCUGCUCAUUAAAGAGAUAAGAUCUUAGCAGAGACAAGCUAUGUUUUGUCUUCAGAAAAAAAUGUAAAUCCAUCUGGCCCCAUAUUUUAUAGUCGUCAAUAGCCCGAGGCCAUGUGAAAUGCCCAAAGUUUUCAUCUUCUCAGGUCUGGGGGUGGAACAGAAAUGAGACAUCAACAUGAGAGCUCUGAGGCCGGCAGCACGGUGAUGAUGGUGAUGUAUUGGAGCAUUCCUGUCUCUGCAGAGUCCCAGAGCUGAACACUGCACAUGGACUAGAUGAGAUGCCAAAGUAUAAAAAGCCAAAGGAAGAAACAGCCCUGCAGUUUAUCACAAAAAUACCUUCUCUUGGACCAUCAAUGGGAAGAAGACUCCUAUUCUUAAUGGUUCAGCUGGCUCCUCUUUCAGCCCAGAAAAGACCAAUGCUCUCUGGGCAUAAGCCUUUGAGUGUCCCAGGGCUACUCAAUGAGGUUGUCCCAAAUACCGACUAGAGAGUCAGUUGGUGUGAAUGGAAAACUACGUAUGGGCAAUAGGGUUCCAACACCCGGGAGAGCCUAUCAUUGUUCAAAUGAAAGUGCCUUGGAGGAAACAGUGCUUUCUGCUGACUCUCACCCAGCAGAAGCCCCAUAAGUUCCUCACUGCACAGUUAGGACUCAGCAAGAGUAAGUGUGUCAAACUCAGAAAUGUUCCUUUACAAAGGGAUGGACUUGUUUCGGCCCCAAAAGAGGAUGAAAUCUGAGAGGCCCAAGACAGAAGGAUGAACAGAACGGACAACACCAAGAGGUAAUGAGUUGCCUGUUGCUAGUGGUAUUUCAUUACAGGCAAUGGUAUGCGGGAUCUGGCUUGCACUUCCUUGUGAGACCUACUUGUAAGGAUCUUCCCAGCUCUGUGUUCAGAAACGUUGUAUUGAUAGCUUGAACUCAGCCUAGAGUGGCUGUCAUUGUUGUUGGCCCCACCACCAAGGUUCCC
rnacentral:lncRNA from 1 species